rnacentral:lncRNA from 1 species
CCGAAAGUGAGCAAAAGAAUAGAGUGACACAAUGACAUAGAUCGAGUGGCAUUCGAUAAAGUUAAAGUGAAAUGACACUAGAGAUAGUGUGAGCUAAAGAACCAAUUUAUUGUAAAGAAUGAUGAAAAUGACAAUGUGUAAAGUUAAAGUAAUGUGGGGAGUAAAGAACAUGAAGUGCUAGAGGUAGCCAAAGUGAAGAAUGUAAAGAAUAUAAUUGCUAGAGUUAGCAAGAGUAAUGAAUGGUAAAGAACAAUGAUUGCUAGAGUGGCAACAAAAAGUGAUGAAAGAACACCAAAGCUAAUGUA